GUAUACCAGGCAUAUAGCCCCUUAAAAUACCGUUACGGAUUGGAGCACAGAGAGAUGUGCAAAUUAUUGAUGCAAAGGGUUUUCGCACACAUGGAUAGUUGUCAAGGUCACGAAGGAGAAGAAGGGUGUCGUUUGGUGCCAGAGAGCGCGUGCCAGGUCUGCUGUACUGACGAUGGCUGUAAUUAUGGUUCGUGCCAGGAAAUUAGAGAGAACCUUUUCCGACUGUACAAGCAUGGCCGCUUCGAUCUACACACUCUACAAAUAACGAAACCGAACUGAACUGUAUCAUAAUAAUGAUAGUGUAAUGGGUG